UACGGCAAUAUCGCGUUGAAACACCAAUUCCCGUACGAUGACUGACGUUAAGCAACAUCGAGCCAGGUCAGUACCUUGAUGAGUGACCGCUUGGGAAUACCAGGUGCUGCAA